GACGAACGCUGGCGGCGUGCUUAACACAUGCCAGUCGAACGAAGAGCGACGGAAGCUUGCUUCUAUCAAUCUUAGUGGCGAACGGGUGAGUAACGCGUAAUCAACCUGCCCUUCAGAGGGGGACAACAGUUGGAAACGACUGCUAAUACCGCAUACGAUCUAACCUCGGCAUCGAGGAUAGAUGAAAGGUGGCCUCUACAUGUAAGCUAUCACUGAAGGAGGGGAUUGCGUCUGAUUAGCUAGUUGGAGGGGGAACGGCCCCACAAGGCGAUGAUCAGUAGCCGGUCUGAGAGGAUGAACGGCCACAUUGGGACUGAGACACGGCCCAGACUCCUACGGGAGGCAGCAGUGGGGAAUCUUCCGCAAUGGACGAAAGUCUGACGGAGCAACGCCGCGUGAGUGAUGACGGCCUUCGGGUUGUAAAGCUCUGUUAAUCGGGACGAAAGGCCUUCUUGCGAAUAGUGAGAAGGAUUGACGGUACCGGAAUAGAAAGCCACGGCUAACUACGUG
rnacentral:rRNA from 1 species